GAUGAACGCUGACAGAAUGCUUAACACAUGCAAGUCGAUUCAAGUUACCUUCGGGUAACGAGGAUGGCGGACGGGUGAGUAACGCGUAAGGAACUUGCCUCUUGGUCUGGGACAACUGUUGGAAACGACAGCUAAUACCGGAUAUUAUGAGAUUCUCGCAUGGGAAACUUAUGAAAGCUAUAUGCGCCAAGAGAGAGCCUUGCGUUCCAUUAGCUAGUUGGUGGGGUAACGGCCCACCAAGGCGACGAUGGAUAGCCGGCCUGAGAGGGUGAACGGCCACAAGGGGACUGAGACACGGCCCUUACUCCUACGGGAGGCAGCAGUGGGGAAUAUUGGACAAUGGGCCACAAGCCUGAUCCAGCAAUUCUGUGUGCACGAUGAAGGUCUUCGGAUUGUAAAGUGCUUUCAGUUGGGAAGAAGUAAGUGACGGUACCAACAGAAGAAGCGACGGCUAAAUACGUGCCAGCCGCCGCCGUAACAC
rnacentral:rRNA from 1 species